rnacentral:misc_RNA from 1 species
UUCCAAAAUGGCGGAUGUUUUGCUACGAAGAUUUUUAUUUUUCAAUCUUUCUUAUUCGAGAAAAUGCAUAAUAUUGAAGGCAUUGAGAGGUGGUUUUGCUACAGAAGCUAGUAGUAAUGUAGAUCUUUUAAGCAAUGUAUCGUUUUUGACGAAUGAUUGUACGAUAGAGGAGCUAGAGGCAGUGCAGGACAUGGUGUCUGGGAAUCUGGAAGUUUACGAAAACUUCGUCAGUGAAGAGGAAGAGGACCGACUUAUCAAGGAAGUAGAGCCGUAUUUGAAAACACAGAAGUAUCAGUUUGACCACUGGGAUGGAGCAAUCAAAGGUUAUAGAGAAACAGAAAAGUCAAGAUGGACAGAUGAUUGUUUGAGAGUAUUCAAAAGAAUGAGGGAUACAUCUUUCAAACCAAACACUAAGCUAUUAUCUCAUGUUCAUGUGCUGGAUUUAGAUGGAAAUGGGUACAUCAAACCUCAUAUUGACAGUGUGAAGUUCUGUGGUCCUACUAUUGCAGGUCUCAGUCUGUUAUCGUCAUCUGUAAUGAGACUCAUUCACGAAAAAUAUAGUUCUGUUACUGUUGACCUUUUACUUCCAAGAAGAUCAAUGUAUAUCCUGAGAGAUUCUAUUAGAUAUGAAUUUACCCAUGAAGUACUAGAGGACAAGACAUCAAGAUGGAAAGGAGAGCAUAUCCCCAGAGACAGAAGAAUAUCGGUUAUACUGAGGUGUCAACCAUGAGGUGACAGUAAUGUUCUAUAAGGGAUAUGUACCUUUUUCUUCUGCCCAUCUCUCCAUACUCUAGCCAUGGCCUGGUCAUCGUUUGCUGGGUUCCAGUCAGGAUCAAACAUUACUAGUCUGUUAGCACCAAUCAGAUUCAACCCACAUCCUCCUGCUUUACUACUUAGCAUGAAAAUGAAAUCACCACCCUGAAAAAAUGGAGCUUUUCAAAGAUGUCCAGCGUCUGAGUGUAGUUUGAUACCAACACUACUUUGUCAUCUGUAGUUGAUUUAGUCAUGGCCAGAAUGAGGUCAAGUACUUGCAUUUUACCUAGUACAAAAUAAGCUGCAAAAAGUCAAGAAAUGAAAGAUCAGCAUUCUUAUUCAAUCUACAGAAGGUUAUGAUAAUUGUAUUUAAUUACAUAAUGAGAAUGUAUUAAAAUUGUAAAGCCUUGUUGAA